CCACAAAGUGCACUAGAACAUGAUGACGUAGAUGAUAGCAGCUUCCCUGAUGAACUAGAGCGUAUUUGUAUGCCCAAAAGCAUGAGAAGAACACACAAAGGAAACAAACCACCCUGUAUACAAAGGGCAGAUUAUGUGUGUCUUUUCUCUCACUAGAAACAGUUCCUUUAUGUAAUCGUCCUUGUUGGCCCCUGUGUGGGUGGAACGCGACUUCCUGUGAAGAGCUAUUACACACAUUGGCAGUUUUUACAACGGUUUUAGAUGAUUUUAUAUGAGAACAAAGCAAUUACAACGAGGGUCUCAAGGAGCUUCUGCAACAAACUUUGAUCGGAGGAUCUGGAAGUUCACAAAUGUUAGAAAUGGAAAAUGAUGGUGUUCUGUUCUUUGCCCCUCAAAGAGUCACUGCUAUUGCCCCAAUGCUUUCUGGUUGCUGUCCACAGACAUCUUCACUCCGUCGGCACAUUACAAUUCACAAGGAACCAUACCAAAUCCAGAUGAACAACCAGCAUGGCCUCCAUACCAGAGACUUAGUUGGUCUGGAGGUGGGCCGAGGAAGUCUUCAAUUCUGUCUAGGUGAGUCUAGCGGGCAGAACCAGUGUAAUAGAGCAAAUUGCUAGCCUACAAACUGCGGAGUGAGCAUUCUUUCUUAUGAGGAGCUUUCUUGAUCUUUACAGAACGUUUUUAGCAUCCCUAGUUUCUGCUUACUAGAUGCUGAAAGGACAAUUGCCCACAUUGGGAAAGCCAAAAAUUACCAAAGAUUAUCAGAUGUCUAUUCAGGACCAAAAUGCCCAAGUUGAGAACCACUGUUCUAUGGCCAUAUUUCUCAAAGUUUAGUGCAAUACUGCCCAGGAGAAAUAGAAUACUAAUUGCAUGUACAAUUGAGAUUGUUUUCAGCAGCCACCUUUAAAUAAAUAAAUACAGAUAAAGCCAAUCUUAAUAAUGUAGCUAACUUAACCCAAUACUAUCUGAGCUAGAUUUUAAUAUUCACUUAUUGUGAGGUCAUUAGUAAGCUAUGUAUCUAUAUUGUGUCUCUCAAUUUCUUGGAGUCUAAUGUGUAACCAACACAGGACACUUCAAGCGAGAUUAGCUAUAGAUGGUAUGCUCAGUGGUCCUUGUGGCUAAACGCUCUGUAUCAG
rnacentral:lncRNA from 1 species